AUUGAACGCUGGCGGCAGGCCUAACACAUACAAGUCGAGCGGAUGAAGGGAGCUUGCUCCUGGAUUCAGCGGCGGACGGGUGAGUAAUGCCUAGGAAUCUGCCUGGUAGUGGGGGAUAACGACCGGAAACGGGCGCUAAUACCGCAUACGUCCUGAGGGAGAAAGUGGGGGAUCUUCGGACCUCACGCUAUCAGAUGAGCCUAGGUCGGAUUAGCUAGUUGGUGGGGUAAAGGCCUACCAAGGCGACGAUCCGUAACUGGUCUGAGAGGAUGAUCAGUCACACUGGAACUGAGACACGGUCCAGACUCCUACGGGAGGCAGCAGUGGGGAAUAUUGGACAAUGGGCGAAAGCCUGAUCCAGCCAUGCCGCGUGUGUGAAGAAGGUCUUCGGAUUGUAAAGCACUUUAAGUUGGGAGGAAGGGCAGUAAGUUAAUACCUUGCUGUUUUGACGUUACCAACAGAAUAAGCACCGGCUAACUUCGUG
rnacentral:rRNA from 1 species